CUCAAUGAAAAUUUAAUAGCCGCAAUAUAUUUGUGCUAAGGUAGCAUAAUCAUUUGUCUUUUAAUUAAAGACUAGAACAAAAGAUUCAAUAUUUAAAUUUCUUUCUGAAACAUAUUCUAUAAAUUAUUUUAAAUAUAAAAAAAUAUUUAUAAUUAAAAAAGACGAUAAGACCCUAUUGAACUUUACUAAAGUUAAACUGGGGUAGUUAAUUAAACAUAAUUUUAAUUUAAAAUCCAAAAUAAUCUAAUAAAAUUAAAUAAAUCAAGUUACCAUAGGGAUAACAGCGUAAUAAUUUUCUCAAGAUCUUAUUCAAAAAUUUGUUUGCGACCUCGAUGUUGAAUUAAUAAUCUAUUAAAUGCAAUAAUUUAAUAAGAAAGUCUGUUCGACUU
rnacentral:rRNA from 1 species